AGAGUUUGAUCCUGGCUCAGAACGAACGCUGGCGGCAGGCCUAACACAUGCAAGUCGAACGAACCCCUCGGGGUGAGUGGCGCACGGGUGCGUAACACGUGGGAAUAUACCCUUCAGUACGGAAUAACGCAGAGAAAUUUGUGCUAAUACCGUAUAAUGACUCCGGUCCAAAGAUUUAUCGCUGAAGGAUUAGCCCGCGCCUGAUUAGGUAGUUGGUGAGGUAAGAGCUCACCAAGCCGACGAUCAGUAGCUGGUUUGAGAGGAUGAUCAGCCACACUGGAACUGAGACACGGUCCAGACUCCUACGGGAGGCAGCAGUGAGGAAUAUUGCGCAAUGGGGGAAACCCUGACGCAGCCAUGCCGCGUGAGUGACGAAGGCCUUAGGGUUGUAAAGCUCUUUCAGAUGCGAAGAUAAUGACGGUAACAUCAGAAGAAGCUCCGGCUAAAUUCGUGCCAGCAGCCGCGGUAAUACGAAUGGAGCAAGCGUUGUUCGGAAUCACUGGGCGUAAAGCGUACGUAGGCGGAUUAACAAGUCAGAAGUGAAAGCCCAGGGCUCAACCUUGGAACGGCUUUUGAAACUGUUGAUCUAGAGUCCCGGAGAGGUUAGCGGAAUUCCGAGUGUAGCAGUGAAAUGCGCAGAUAUUCGGAGGACCACCAGUGGCGUAGGCGGCUAACUGGACGGGUACUGACGCUGAGCACGAAAGCGUGGGGAGCCAACAGGAUUAGAUACCCUGGUAGUCCACGCCGUAAACGAUGUAUGCUAGUUGUUGGUGUCCAUAGGGCAUCAGUGACGCAGCUAACGCGAUAAGCAUACCGCCUGGGGAGUACGGUCGCAAGAUUAAAACUCAAAGGAAUUGACGGGGACCCGCACAAGCGGUGGAGCAUGUUGUUUAAUUCGAAGCAACGCGAAGAACCUUACCUACACUUGACAUACUAGUCGGGAUUUCCAGAGAUGGAUUUCUCCGGUUCGGCCGGACUAGAUACAGGUGCUGCAUGGC
rnacentral:rRNA from 1 species